AUAACCCUUUGUUGUCCGACUCUGUUGCCUCCGGGGCGACCCUGCCUUCGGGCGGGGGCUCCGGGUGGACACUUCAAACUCUUGCGUAACUUUGCAGUCUGAGUAAACUUAAUUAAUAAAUUAAAACUUUUAACAACGGAUCUCUUGGUUCUGGCAUCGAUGAAGAACGCAGCGAAAUGCGAUAAGUAAUGUGAAUUGCAGAAUUCAGUGAAUCAUCGAAUCUUUGAACGCACAUUGCGCCCCCUGGUAUUCCGGGGGGCAUGCCUGUUCGAGCGUCAUUUCACCACUCAAGCCUCGCUUGGUAUUGGGCAUCGCGGUCCGCCGCGUGCCUCAAAUCGACCGGCUGGGUCUUCUGUCCCCUAAGCGUUGUGGAAACUAUUCGCUAAAGGGUGUUCGGGAGGCUACGCCGUAAAACAACCCCAUUUCUAAGGUUGACCUCGGAUCAGGUAGGGAUACCCGCUGAACUUAAGCA
rnacentral:rRNA from 1 species